AAAGUAAAUAUUUUGUACCAUGAAUUAUAUAUAUUUUUUAAAUAUUAAAAGAUUUUCAAAAUUAUUUUGAUUACUAAAUUAACGAGGGAUGGACAAUAAUUUAUGCAAAAAAUUUUCUAUCACUAUGCAAGGGCCAAUGGGCACCCUAUACAUUAAGACCUCCAGCCAUCAAACAUAGAACAUCACGAGGACAGGAAGCACAAAACACAACCCCAAAUUCCCAUAGAGAGGAAGGCAGCAGAGAAAUGCCCAGCCGCAUACACACUAGAAUCAGACCUGAAGAAACAGCGCAAUGAAACAACUUCAUGGCAUGGUAGGGGGGAUCCCAGCCAGGCAGCAUUAAAAGAAUUGAAGUAGCUUGGCAGGAGGAAUUUAGGUCCACCACUCCAAUAAUUUCUCUGGUCCACGCGCGAUUGCAAAAACUUCACACACGUAGAGAGAUCGAGGUAGCUCAGGAAGAAGAUUAACAUGGCGAAAAAACUGAUGGAAGGUAUCUGUUUGCUGAUCCUAGUGAUGAUACUGUUCAACCCAGAUCAAGCUAUAGCCAGUUCUUCGCCCAAGAGCAACACCAGCAGCACUACCUUCCAGUUUUGCGAUGGCUCCAUCGAAGAUUGCCUGAUUGCAGACGACCAAAACGUUGAGUUGCUGUUUGACUCGGAACUAGCAGCGACAAGUCUAAACAUAGCAGAAGCUUUACAGCCUUCUAGUCCAGUAGUUGACUGCGGGAGAGGUAAAAGCUCCACAUCAUGCCUUCCUGAUCCUCAGAAUUCUAAAAUACUUGAACGUUGUGAUAAACUGUAUCUCAAUAAGAAUCGUGGAUGUGCCUAGUUUGUGGUUAAUUUGGUUGAUUAAGUCUAGUUAAUCAAGUUUUAAUGUAUUGUGUAUGCUCUAAUUAAUCUCUUUCUCUUAAUAAUAUCUUUAUCUUUACAAA